rnacentral:lncRNA from 1 species
GUUGCUGCUUUCAUGAUUUUGUCCUUGUCUUCAACUUUUAGCAUUUUUUCUCUGAUGUAUCUGUUGUGGCUCUUUUCAUAUUUAACCUACUUGGAAUUCAUUGAGCUUCAUAUAUAUGUAGAUUUUUGCUUUUCAAUAAACUUGAGAAGUUUUCAGCCAUUAUUUCUUUGAAUAUUUUCUCUGCUCCUUUUUCUCCUUUGGUACUCCCAUUAUGUCUGCAUCAGUGUAAAUGAUGGUGUCCCACAUUUCUCUGGGCUUUCCAUUUUUCUUCUUUUUUCUCUUUGUUCUUUGGCUUACAUAGUCUCUAUGAAUCUACAAGUUUGCUUAUUCUUUCUUCUGACAAUUCAAAUCUACCAUUAAGCCUCUGAGUUUUUAAAAAUUAUAUUUAUUAUAACUUCUAAGUCCAAAAUUUCCAUUUGAUUCUUUUCUAUAAUUUCUUUUUCUUUAUUGAUAUUCUCUAGUUGAUGCAACAUUGUCGUACCUUUCUUUACUUCUCAAUCAUGUUUUCCUUUAGUUCUGUGAAUCUGUGGAUAAUGGCUAAUUUGAAGUCUCUUUUUUUUUUGUUAUAAAUCUGUUCUCACAGGCAGUUUCUGUUGUCUGCUUUUUUUCCUAGUGUAUGGGUCAUGCUGUUUCUUUGCAUGCCUUGUAAUUUUUUGUUGCAAUCUGGACAUAAUAGGUAAUAUAUUGUAGCAACUUUGUGUAUAGGUACUCCCCUCCCUCCAGGACUUAUUGUUAUCUGCUCAUUUAUUUGUUUAGUGACUGGCUGGGUUAUUUUAAUGAAAUGUAUUCCUGCAUCCUCCCUCCAGCGUAAAGCCUCUGUGUUGCUCCUCGGGGAGAUGCAGCAUCCUAUAGUCACCAUGGGGUAACACUGGUUUUGGUAAGGGGGAUAAGUUGGAGAGGGAGCCUGUGUUCUUGAUUAUAGCAGUCUGGAGUGAAGUCUGUCUUGCUGAGCUGGGAAGGGGGUGGGAGCAAGUGGUCUUGGUUUAUAUACCACAGAUGCUUUCCUUUCUUACAGAAUUUUCAGAUUUCCUUUGAUAUAUGUUUCUUCAUUUGCUGUUGGCCCUUAGGACUGUCUCCAUAGGCUUUAAGUGAUUUUUAAAAAUAUUUUUUAUCAGUUUCAUAUGAGAGCAGGCCAGUGGAGCUCCUCAUACUGUCAAGCCAGAAGUACUAUUCUUUCUUUUUGGAGACACAGUCAUGCUCUGUUGCCCAGGCUGGAGUGCAGUGGCACGAUCUCGGCUCACUGCAACCUCCACCUCCCGGGUUCAAGCAUUUCUCCUGUCUCAGCCUCCCGAGUAGCUGGGAUUACAGGCGUGAGCCACCAUGCCCAGCCAGAAGUACUAUUAUUUCUUAUAACUACAUAUGAAUCUAAAAUUAUCACAAAAGGAAACUUCUUUUAAGAAAAAGAAAAGAAUCAGAACAUAAAUAUACAGCAUGGCAAAACUACAUCUAAAACAAGUAUUAUAGGUCUCAUGGUGGAAAAAUUGGACCCACAAGAAAAGUUGUUAAUUAUCUCUGAUAUUCUGAACCAUUGAUAUCUGCAAAAUGAUUACUAGGUAUGUGCAAUGAAGGCUAUUGAUGUUACCCUGUAUAUCUGCACACUGUGUACAAAUGCUGUUAAAUGAUGUAAUAAAAAAUUAAAAAGGAAAUUAAUGAAUUCAUAUUUAAUAAAUUUUAAAAAUGGAGAAGGUAAGACUUUCUUACAGAAAAAUGCCAGUUGAAAUCAUUGAGAAAACUAGUAUCGGACAAUUACCACUUGCAGCCAUCAUAGUAAAAACUGAUAACAGGCAAAAAUCAUCACAUGAUAUAUUGAAGGGAAAAGUUUCAUGAGGAACAUGAUGUUUGCAUGGCCUGAAAGUAUAUCCUCACAGAUUGCUUACUAGUUGUAAGGGGAAAAAUAGCAACUACAUAGUGGUCAUACUAGAUGACACCUUGACCAGUUGGCUAUAAUUAAUAUCCUCAAUGAGGGGCAGAGAGCCAUCAUGUGUCUCUACAUGUAAUAAUCAAAAACACUUAUAAUGUCACUGAUAGUAUUUUGUCUGGUCUAACCUGCGUCUAAUCAUGAAGAAACAUCUGACAAACCAAAAUUAAGGAACAUAUUAUAAAAUAAGUGGCCUCGGUUCUUCAAAAACAUCAAUAUCAUAAAGACAAUGGCUGAAAAACAAUUCUAAAUUAAAGAAUAAAGGGACAUAACAUCUGAAUGCAUUAUGUGAUCCUAGACUGGAUAUUGAAUUUGGACAAUUGACAAAAUGUGAUAAGGACUGUAGAUUUUUAAAAAAGUAUUUUAUCGUGGCC